rnacentral:snRNA from 1 species
AUCACUUCUUGGCCUUUUGGCUAAGAUCAAGUGUAGAGUUUUCACCCGUAAUAAAAUUGUGUUUUCCAAAUUGAUCUUAAUCAUAGUAGUCCAAAUUUUUAUUAACAUGACUGACAUACGUCUUUGCAAUUUUAGCACCUGUGGUUUUGUGAAUACAAUAU